GGCGACGUGGCCGAGUGGUUAGGCAGAGGCCUGCAAAGCCUUGUACUCCGGUUCAAAUCCGGACGUCGCCU
rnacentral:tRNA from 3 species